rnacentral:rRNA from 1 species
AUUGAACGCUGGCGGCAGGCCUAACACAUGCAAGUCGAGCGGUAGAGAGAAGCUUGCUUCUCUUGAGAGCGGCGGACGGGUGAGUAAUGCCUAGGAAUCUGCCUAGUGGUGGGGGAUAACGUUCGGAAACGGACGCUAAUACCGCAUACGUCCUACGGGAGAAAGCGGGGGAUCUUCGGACCUCGCGCCAUUAGAUGAGCCUAGGUCGGAUUAGCUAGUUGGUGAGGUAAUGGCUCACCAAGGCGACGAUCCGUAACUGGUCUGAGAGGAUGAGCAGUCACACUGGAACUGAGACACGGUCCAGACUCCUACGGGAGGCAGCAGUGGGGAAUAUUGGACAAUGGGCGAAAGCCUGAUCCAGCCAUGCCGCGUGUGUGAAGAAGGUCUUCGGAUUGUAAAGCACUUUAAGUUGGGAGGAAGUGCAGUAACCUAAUACGUUAUUGUUUUGACGUUACCGACAGAAUAAGCACCGGCUAACUUCGUGCCAGCCGCCGCGGUAAUAC